rnacentral:lncRNA from 1 species
CUCAGGUUGUCUCUGUUCCAGACAAAUUAGCCGGUUAGCUGAACCUCAGGGAAUGGUGUAUUCUCUCCAUCCUCUUCUCAUACAGUGAGGGGUUUUUUCCUUCCAUAAAUGAAUGAUGCCACAAGCAAGCAGGAGGGUGAAGUUAAAAGAAUGUUGGAUGGGUUGGUAGACAGCAUUUUAGUUCAUCCUUACUCUGACCUCUCUUGGUUGUAAUUUCUUCCCCUAAACAAGGAAGGGCAUAGACAAGGUCUCUCAAUGUCCUUUCUAUCCCCAAAUCCCUAAUUCUUUGCUGCUUUUACAUGCAGUUGUUCCAGAGCUUAUCCUUGUGGCUGAUCCUGGUCAAGGAGCUCCCACAGACCUUGGUGCUGUGGCUUCACGGUCUGAACCUCAGAAUCCAAGAGCCAAUGAAAUAACUGUCUAGCUCAGUCAUUUUAGAGUGCCAUCUGCUGAUGUGGUAAGUGAGAAGAUGAGGAGGAAAAAGAGAAGGAAGAAAAAUUUGAGAUGUUCUUUUUAAUCUCUUGAAUCUGUUGACUGAAGGAAGCACCUCCACUUAAAAACAUCGGCUCUGCAGACGUUUUGUACAUGAGCUCUUUCAUGGAGGUUGGUCCUGGCCCUGAAUACCAAAUCCAGUCUUGUCUCAUUUCUCUGUGAUUGUAUCUCUGAC